rnacentral:tRNA from 1 species
GGCUGCCGGCGGCACCGGUCGGCCCGGUCGCUGUGGUCGGCUGGGGCCGGUCGGAUCCCGGGGCGGCCG